rnacentral:lncRNA from 1 species
GAAAAACAGAGGGGUUUGGUUAAGAAGAAGAGAGAUGUCACCGGCGAUUAAGAAGAAGACUUCGCCGGUGAAGGAGACAGAGAUGGCGGCAGAGUCUCAGAUCACUGGCAAGGAGUAAGGAGGAGCUCGCCGGUGAUGGUGACAGUGACGACCCAGAGGACGACGGUGAGAAGAAAGAAGAGGUGACGAAGAAGAAGGCAGAUUUUCUGCUCUGUUUCUGGCGAACAGCAGAGAUGAAGAACGAGAAAUCAGAGACAACGCCGUCUGUGCAUGCAAGCUUCUGGUCACAGAGUACAUUUUAUUAUUAUUAUUUUUUUAACUCAGUAAAUUUUUUUAUUUAUUAUUUAUUUUUUUUUUCAGAAAGAGAAAGAGAUGACGGUGAUGGUGGUUGAAGCGGCUAAGAAGAAGAAGAAUGGC